UACGGAGGGGGCUAGCGUUGUUCGGAAUUACUGGGCGUAAAGCGCGCGUAGGCGGACCCGCAAGUCGGGGGUGAAAGCCCGAGGCUCAACCUCGGAACUGCCUUCGAUACUGCGGGUCUCGAGUCCGGGAGAGGUGAGUGGAAUUCCUAGUGUAGAGGUGAAAUGCGCAGAUAUCAGGAGGAACACCUAUUGCGAAGGCAGCUCGCUGGGACGUUACUGACGCUGAGACGCGAAAGCGUGGGGAGCAAACAGG
rnacentral:rRNA from 1 species